GAUGAAGAACGCAGCGAACUGCGAUAAGUAAUGUGAAUUGCAGAAUUCAGUGAAUCAUCGAGUCUUUGAACGAACAUUGCGCCCCCUGGCAUUCCGGGGGGCAUGCCUGUCCGAGCGUCAUUGCUGCCCUUCAAGCCCGGCUUGUGUGUUGGGUCGUCGUCCCCCCCGGGGGACGGGCCCGAAAGGCAGCGGCGGCACCGCGUCCGGUCCUCGAGCGUAUGGGGCUUUGUCACCCGCUCGAUUAGGGCCGGCCGGGCGCCAGCCGGCGUCUCCAACCUUCUAUUUUACCAGGUUGACCUCGGAUCAGGUAGGGAUACCCGCUGAACUUAAGCAUAUCAAUAAGCGGAGGA
rnacentral:misc_RNA from 1 species